GACGAACGCUGGCGGCGUGCCUAAUACAUGCAAGUCGAACGCACUCUCGUUUAGAUUGAAGGAGCUUGCUCCUGAUUGAUAAACAUUUGAGUGAGUGGCGGACGGGUGAGUAACACGUGGGUAACCUGCCCUAAAGUGGGGGAUAACAUUUGGAAACAGAUGCUAAUACCGCAUAAAACCUAACACCGCAUGGUGUAGGGUUGAAAGAUGGUUUCGGCUAUCACUUUAGGAUGGACCCGCGGUGCAUUAGUUAGUUGGUGAGGUAAAGGCUCACCAAGACCGUGAUGCAUAGCCGACCUGAGAGGGUAAUCGGCCACACUGGGACUGAGACACGGCCCAGACUCCUACGGGAGGCAGCAGUAGGGAAUCUUCCACAAUGGACGAAAGUCUGAUGGAGCAACGCCGCGUGAGUGAAGAAGGUUUUCGGAUCGUAAAACUCUGUUGUUGGAGAAGAAUGUAUCUGAUAGUAACUGAUCAGGUAGUGACGGUAUCCAACCAGAAAGCCACGGCUAACUACGUGCCAGCAGCCGCGGUAAUACGUAGGUGGCAAGCGUUGUCCGGAUUUAUUGGGCGUAAAGCGAGCGCAGGCGGUUUCUUAAGUCUGAUGUGAAAGCCUUCGGCUCAACCGAAGAAGUGCAUCGGAAACUGGGAAACUUGAGUGCAGAAGAGGACAGUGGAACUCCAUGUGUAGCGGUGAAAUGCGUAGAUAUAUGGAAGAACACCAGUGGCGAAGGCGGCUGUCUGGUCUGUAACUGACGCUGAGGCUCGAAAGCAUGGGUAGCAAACAGGAU
rnacentral:rRNA from 2 species